GACGAACGCUGGCGGCGUGCCUAAUACAUGCAAGUCGAGCGCAGGAAGCUGACGGAACUCUUCGGAGGGAAGGCAGUGGAAUGAGCGGCGGACGGGUGAGUAACACGUAAGGAACCUGCCUCAAGGAUUGGGAUAACUCCGAGAAAUCGGAGCUAAUACCGGAUAGUUCAACGGACCGCAUGGUCCGCUGAUGAAAGGCGCUCCGGCGUCACCUUGAGAUGGCCUUGCGGUGCAUUAGCUAGUUGGUGGGGUAACGGCCCACCAAGGCGACGAUGCAUAGCCGACCUGAGAGGGUGAUCGGCCAGACUGGGACUGAGACACGGCCCAGACUCCUACGGGAGGCAGCAGUAGGGAAUCUUCAACAAUGGACGAAAGUCUGAUGGAGCAACGCCGCGUGAGUGAUGAAGGUUUUCGGAUCGUAAAACUCUGUUGUAAGGGAAGAACACGUACGAGAGGAAAUGCUCGUACCUUGACGGUACCUUACGAGAAAGCCACGGCUAACUACGUGCCAGCAGCCGCAGUAA
rnacentral:rRNA from 1 species